rnacentral:rRNA from 1 species
CGUAGGUGAACCUGCGGAAGGAUCAUUGUCSA